rnacentral:rRNA from 1 species
AGAGUUUGAUCCUGGCUCAGGAUGAACGCUAGCGGCAGGCCUAACACAUGCAAGUCGAGGGGUAACAGUUCCAAGCAAUUGGAAGCUGACGACCGGCGCACGGGUGCGUAACGCGUAUGCAACCUACCUUUAACUGGGGGAUAGCCCGGAGAAAUCCGGAUUAAUACCCCAUAAUAUUCCGAAUGGGCAUCCAUUUUGAAUUAAAGCUUCGGCGGUUUUAGAUGGGCAUGCGUGGCAUUAGUUAGUUGGCGAGGUAACGGCUCACCAAGACAAAGAUGCCUAGGGGUUCUGAGAGGAUUUUCCCCCACACUGGUACUGAGACACGGACCAGACUCCUACGGGAGGCAGCAGUGAGGAAUAUUGGUCAAUGGACGCAAGUCUGAACCAGCCAUGCCGCGUGCAGGAUGACGGCCCUAUGGGUUGUAAACUGCUUUUAUAUGGGAAGAAACCUUUCUACGUGUAGAAAGCUGACGGUACCAUACGAAUAAGGACCGGCUAACUCCGUGCCAGCAGCCGCGGUAAUACGGAGGGUCCAAGCGUUAUCCGGAUUUAUUGGGUUUAAAGGGUGCGCAGGCGGAUUUGUAAGUCAGUGGUGAAAUCCCCCGGCUCAACCGGGGAACUGCCAUUGAUACUGCUAAUCUAGAGUACAGUUGAAGUAGGCGGAAUGUAGCAUGUAGCGGUGAAAUGCAUAGAGAUGCUACAGAACACCGAUUGCGAAGGCAGCUUACUAAGCUGUAACUGACGCUCAGGCACGAAAGCGUGGGGAGCAAACAGGAUUAGAUACCCUGGUAGUCCACGCCGUAAACUAUGAUUACUCGUUGUUGGCAAUAUAUCGUCAGCGACUGAACGAAAGUAUUAAGUAAUCCACCUGGGAAGUACGAUCGCAAGGUUGAAACUCAAAGGAACUGACGGGGGCCCGCACAAGCGGUGGAGCAUGUGGUUUAAUUCGAUGAUACGCGAGGAACCUUACCUGGGCUUAAAUGUUAGACGACAGUUUCGGAAACGAAAUUUUCCUUCGGGACGUCUUACAAGGUGCUGCAUGGUUGUCGUCAGCUCGUGCCGUGAGGUGUCGGGUUAAGUCCCAUAACGAGCGCAACCCCUAUUCUUAGUUGCCAUCAGGCCAUGCUGGGGACUCUAAGAAAACUGCCUACGCAAGUAGUGAGGAAGGUGGGGAUGACGUCAAAUCAGCACGGCCCUUAUGUCCAGGGCUACACACGUGCUACAAUGGCCGGUACAGAGGGUCGCUACCUGGUGACAGGAUGCUAAUCUCGGAAACCGGUCUCAGUUCGGAUCGAAGUCUGCAACUCGACUUCGUGAAGCUGGAAUCGCUAGUAAUCGCACAUCAGCCAUGGCGCGGUGAAUACGUUCCCGGGCCUUGUACACACCG